rnacentral:sRNA from 1 species
CCCCGGCGGCCCCGCGCAGCCGCUCCCUCGGCGGGGCCGUGGGGAGCGUGGCGUCGGGGGCCCGCGCGGCACAGUCCCCCUUCAGCAUCCCGAACAGCAGCAGCGGCCCGUACGGCUCGCAGGACUCGGUGCACAGCAGCCCUGAGGACGGCGGCGGCGGCCGGGACCGGCCGGUGGGCGGGAGCCCCGGCGGGCCGCGCCUGGUGAUCGGCUCCUUACCAGCUCACCUCUCGCCGCACAUGUUUGGAGACUGAGGAGUGUUAAAGUGAACAGACGCUUUCUUGACUACUGCUAGUGUUGUCCAUCACCUUUGUUUUAAAAAAGGUCUUAAGGGUAUUUCCUAAUAUUUAAAAAUGUUGAUGGUAUUUUAGGGUUUGUUUGGCUUUAAUUUACGUCUACGUUUUUUUUUCCACUGUCAAGUAGCUGUUGUUCAUAAGAGCAUAAUAUGAGUGGUCAAAUAGCCUUUAAUGAUGCAGCAAGGAUGG